rnacentral:rRNA from 1 species
UACGAAGGGGGCUAGCGUUGCUCGGAAUGACUGGGCGUAAAGGGCGCGUAGGCGGUUUGUACAGUCAGGUGUGAAAUUCCUGGGCUUAACCUGGGGGCUGCGUUUGAUACAUGCAGGCUUGAGUUCGGAAGAGGGUCGUGGAAUUCCCAGUGUAGAGGUGAAAUUCGUAGAUAUUGGGAAGAACACCCGUGGCUAAGGCGGCUCUCUAGUACGGUACUGACGCUGAGACGCGAAAGCGUGGGGAGCGAACAGG